UACGUAGGGCGCAAGCGUUGUCCGGAAUUAUUGGGCGUAAAGAGCUCGUAGGCGGCCAGUUGCGUCUGCUGUGAAAUCCCGGGGCUCAACCCCGGGCGUGCAGUGGAUACGGGCUGGCUAGAGGCAGGCAGGGGAGAACGGGAAUUCCCGGUGUAGCGGUGAAAUGCGCAGAUAUCGGGAGGAACACCGGUGGCGAAGGCGGUUCUCUGGGCCUGUACUGACGCUGAGGAGCGAAAGCGUGGGGAGCGAACAGG
rnacentral:rRNA from 1 species